rnacentral:rRNA from 1 species
AUUGAACGCUGGCGGCAGGCCUAACACAUGCAAGUCGAGCGAGCGGCGGACGGGUGAGUAAUGUCUGGGAAACUGCCUGAUGGAGGGGGAUAACUACUGGAAACGGUAGCUAAUACCGCAUACCAUCAGAUGUGCCCAGGUGGGAUUAGCUAGUAGGUGGGGUAACGGCUCACCUAGGCGACGAUCCCUAGCUGGUCUGAGAGGAUGACCAGCCACACUGUGACAGAGACACGGGCCAGACUCCUACGGGAGGCGGCAGUGGGGAAUAUUGCACAAAGGGCGCGAGCCUGAUGCAGCCAUGCCGCGUGUGUGAAGAAGGCCUUCGGGUGGUAAAGCACUUUCAGCGGGGAGGCGUUACCCGCAGAGGAAGCACCGGCUAACUCCGUGCCAGCAGCCGCGGUAAUAC